ensembl:snoRNA
AUUCUUUUUGGGUUCCCAAGAAUGAUGAUUCGGUAUUGACAUGCUUGUGUGACAUGUCUCUCACUAAAAACUCGUUACACACUUGGUACCUUAACCAUCUGAUU